UGGCGGCGCUGUUUUGCCACAUAAACACAACCCUUACAAGAGGACUAUUAAAGCAGUGCUGCUAAAAACAAAUUAAUGGAGAGAGAGACUACAGAAACGGACAAGGAGAGGCACCAGCUGAGCACAGAUAGGACACAAGGAGGACAGCAACACUAUCCAUGCCAGGCAUACAGUGACGCCACAAACCGAAGAAGAAUCCCAGUCAGGGCCUUCAUUAUCCCGGUCUCCAUCGGAGUAUGUUGUCUGUCCCUCUGGGAGAGGACAUUUUACGCCAUGUCCCCACUGUCACACAGCCACAUCACUCCUGUCCAUCACCAUGGGGACAGUGCCUGUCCAACAGGAGAGCAGCUGGUGAGAUGGUUCAGAGGCAGAGCUGAGAGAGGGCCUGACAAGAGCGGUUCUACAGAUAGAGGCAGAGGCAUUGGCAGGGGGAGGAGGAGGAGGACACUGGGAUGGGCUUCAGACAAGCCAGACAGGCCACUCAUGGAGUCAUCCCCCACAGGACCCAUGUUCUGAUAGUCACCAUGACAACAAAGCAGAGACUGAAGCGCUAACAAAGAUAUGGUGCGCCAGCUGAUCAGUCAUCUUACAGAAAAGUGUGUGUGUGUGUUUGUGAGAGAGAGGUCAAGCUCAUGGAUCUCAGGGUUCUGGUCUGGGUUCCUGUACAGCUGAGGAUGUUUACCUUCCACUCUGUACUCUGUGACCCUGUAGAGAUGGAAAAGCACUGGCCACCCAAAGCUUUGUAAUAAUGGGCUGUUGUUCAUUACAACAAACCCAUUUACUUUCCUAUCAGUUCACCAGUGCAAGGGUGCGGUAAAGGGUGUAAAAUGAUAUUUGAUUGACCUUGAAGAAGAUCUGGCACUUAACACAAUGCUUUUCUUUGAAAAAGGUAAGUUGUGCAAAUGUGUUAACUACAACAAAACCUACAAUUUAUAUAGGUCUAAAUUUUAUACAUUUACCUGCUUUGCUGAAAAUUAAAAUCUAAAAACUUGACAGACAACACAGACAAAUACUCAAUCCUUAUUCUUCAUAACUGAUUAUUCUCUAGUUUUGCAUUUUGCUAGUGUCCUUGUCGCUACUGGUAGCAAGAGGCUGUACCUGCAGCCCUUUGAGAGCCAUUUUACAGGUAAUCCAGCUCCUCCAGGGUGACAUAUCUGUACAUGUUGUCACAAGAAGGUUUGCUGUGACUCCCAGCACAUUCCCAAGAGCAUUGAGGAGAUAUAAGGACACAGGACAUUACACAAGAGAAGGGAAUCAACCCAGCAGCAGGACCAGUAUCUGCUCCUUUGUGCAGAGGACGGGGAACUGAAGGAGAACUCCCAGAACUCUACAAGUGGACAAACUGUCAGAAAUGGAACCCAUAGGGAUGGCACGAAAUGAAACCUGAUGUCCUCCAGGGGGACAAUGCCCGGCCCCAUAUGGCCUGAGGGUGUAGGCAGUUCCUGGACGAUGCAGGCAUUAAAGCCAUUGACUGGCCCUCACAAUAUCAGACCUGGAAACAAUUGAAAACAUCUGGGACUUUAUGUAUCAGAGCAUACAAUGCUCCUAGCUCAUCCCACAGACUGUCCAGGAGCUCACUGAUGCCCAUCAAGAGCAUGCCCAGCAUACAAGCACAUAAGUAACCAUUGCUGUGAUGAAAUUCAUGAGCCUAUGAUGUUUUUCUUUGAUUUUCAGUAUGAUUUUUUUGUCCUGCCCUCCACACUGUAAACCCUCAUUUUGAAUUAAGUCUGUUCAAUGUAAAACUGAAUAUUCCCAAACAAAACUCAACUACUUCAUGUUAGGUGAACAUUUGCAGCCAAAUAUAGCCAAUUGUGUUUAGUCUGUUUCCAUUGACACCUUAUCUAUUUGCAUUCUGGGUGUGGCUCCCAGUUUAGGUGAACUUGUAUUUCAUAUUUUAUUAUAAACAACCUGGAAUCAGUAUUCUAGGCUAUAAAACAAAACUGUGUCCUAAGCUGCCUUAAGCUUUCUAAGCUGUGUCCUGUAUUGUUCACUUUAUAGCUUUUUCUUUCUUCAUUAUUUAAAUUUAAAUAAAAAAAAGAUAUAUACAAAUCUAUU
ensembl:lncRNA